rnacentral:rRNA from 1 species
CUUGAACGCUGGCGGCAGGCCUAACACAUGCAAGUCGAGCGAGCGGCGCACGGGUGAGUAAUGUCUGGGAAACUGCCUGUUGGAGGGGGAUAACUACUGGAAACGGUAGCUAAUACCGCAUACCAUCAGCUGUGCCCAAAUGGGAUUAGCUAGUGGGUGGGGUAACGGCUCACCUAGGCGACGAUCCCUAGCUGGUCUGAGAGGAUGACCAGCCACACAGGAACGGGGACACGAGCCAGACUCCUACGGGAGGCAGCAGUGGGGAAUAUUGCACAAUGGGGGCAAGCCUGAUGCAGCCAUGCCGCGUGUGUGAAGAAGGUCUUCGGAUUGUAAAGCACUUUAAGUUGGGAGGCGGUACCAACAGAAUAAGCACCGGCUAACUUCGUGCCAGCAGCCGCGGUAAUAC